CAUGAUUGUAGAAAAUAUGCACCCCAAGCCAUGAUAGGAAUUAUCAAGAACUCUAAGAGAUUCAUUAGUACAUAACCAUACCAUAAAAACCGAAUUCCUCAAACCCAUCCAAGUCACGCAGGUCGCCAAGCCUAAGAGUAUUGCCAGAAAAUACCUAUAGAGACUUGUCACAUCAUAAACAUUCAAAGAACGGAUCAUAUCCAUUACCGUGCUGAUCCAACCUACUACAAAGCUAGCAUAUUUCAUCGAGUUCCUUCUGAAUUACCUUCAAGUUAACACUUCUCCUUGCCCAAAGCUUACCACAAGAGAUCCUAGCAUAAAACCAUGUCAUCCUAACGCCCAUAAGCCGUACUAUUCCCUAUUAAGCACCUCAAAAGUACCAAAAUUGAGACACCCACUAUAAAGAGACCUUCAACAAAUCUAAGCAUUUUCUUAAUCUCUAUGAUAUUUAAAUAUAUACAUAAUGAUACAGAACUACCGAGAGUACUGACACCAUCCAAUGCAAUCUCAAAUCGUACCCAUUUACAAAUCCAAAAAAUUCUCAAAUGUCACAUAUGAAUAUUGAACUCUGUAGAACCUUCUCGAGAGUUAUCUACCCCAUUCAAAUCUCACUCUCCAACUCCACCAAUCGAACGACUAACACAUCUCUCGUACACUAUCGUAU
rnacentral:lncRNA from 1 species